CGCUAAGGGGUGGCAGACAGGCGCGAUAGUACGUAUGGGGCUAGCGGUAGUCGGAAGCACUGGUCGUAAGGCGGGUGGUGGCGUGCCGGUAAGUCCGCUGGGGAAGUCGGUGGCUCAACGCUAGGAUGUGGGUUGAUACUGUCGGGCGGUGGUGCCGAAGAGGCGAGUGGAAUUCCUGGUGUAGGGGUGAAAUGCGCAGAUAUCAGGAGGAACACCAAUUGCGAAGGCAGCUCGCUGGGACGUUACUGACGCUGAGACGCGAAAGCGUGGGGAGCAAACAGGAUUAGAUACCCCGGUAGUC
rnacentral:rRNA from 1 species